rnacentral:tRNA from 1 species
UCCCUGGAGGACUAGUGGUUAGGCCACAGUGCUCUCACCGCUGCGGCCCAGGUUCGUUUCCCAGCCAGGGAA